rnacentral:lncRNA from 1 species
AUGGAAGAGACACAGACAAGAAAACAGAAAAGAAAUGCAUUUGGAGCUCUGAUCAGUCCCAGUCUGAAGGCUGAGGUUUUCAGUUAUGUGAACUAAGCAAAAUUUGGGAACAAAUGGAAACGUCUGUGGAUCCAUAGUUUCUGAUAUAACAAACAAGGCUUUAUGUUUAUAUCGCACUUCCACAUCAGAAGAACCUAUGGAAGAAUCUAGGAAAAUGCCUAGUGUCAACAUGAGGAAAGUACGUGGAUGGCAGCAGACUACCAGCUUUAGCAUGUUGAAUAUGUCAUCCUACUCUCUCCUGGACUGCAGAGUUUUUGCUGAGAAAUCUGCUGACAGCCAUGUUGGAACUCUCUUGAAUGUGGUAUGUCUUAUAUCUUUUGCUGCUCAGUAUUCAUUCUUUGCCUGAUUUUUGAUAAUUUAAUAUGACAUGUCUUCGUAAACUUCCCUUUGGAUUAGAUUUGAUUGGUAAUCUCUGAGUUUUCUGUAACCAAGUGGUGUCAUCUUUCCCAAGAUUUGCAAAAUUGAUAGCCAUUGUUUUCUUCAAUCUGUUUUUCAGGACUCUCUCUUUCUCAUCUUCCUCAGGAAUUGCUAUUAUGAAGGUUAAUUCACUUGAUGGUGUUCCAUAAUUCCCAUUUGUCUUCUUGACUUAGUCUCUUUUUUUUGUUUUUGCCUCUAUGAUUGAAUAAUUUCAAAUGUAUUUUAGAGCUCACUGAUUCUUCCUUCUUCUUAAUCGUGUCUCCUGUUUAAAUUUUCUGUUGAAUUUUCCAGCUCAGUUAUUGUAUUAUCUCUAGGAUUUCAAAUUUUUUAUUGUUUUGUUUCUUUGUCAAACUUACCAUUUUGUUCAUAAGUUGCUUUCUAUAUUUUAUUUAAUUUUUGUCCAUAUUUUCUUGGAUUUCUCUGAAAUUCCUUAGUACAAUUAUUUUGAAUUCGUUGUUAGCCUUUUCACAGAUCUCCAUUUUUUAUAGAGUUGAUUAUUGGAACUUUAUUCAUUUCUUUUGAUGGUGUCAUAUUUCCUUGAUUUUUCACAAUCCUUGUGUCCUUACAUAAUGCUUCCACAUUUGAGAAGAUUGCCACCUCUUUCAUCAUUUGCAGGUGUUCUUUGGAAUUUACAGACCUUUACUCUUUAAUCUAGCCUGGGAUUUUG